rnacentral:rRNA from 1 species
GACGAGGGGUCCAAGCGUUGUUCGGAAUCAUUGGGCGUAAAGCGGAUGUAGGUGGCUCUAUAAGUCAGACGUGAAAUCCCUCGGCUUAACCGGGGAACUGCAUCUGAUACUGGAUGGCUUGAGAUUGGGAGAGGGAUGCGGAAUUCCAGGUGUAGCGGUGAAAUGCGUAGAUAUCUGGAGGAACACCGGUGGCGAAGGCGGCAUCCUGGACCAACACUGACACUGAGGAGCGAAAGCCAGGGGAGCAAACGGG